GCAUCCGUAGCUCAAUUGGAUAGAGCAGCUGGCUUCGAACCAGCAGGUUGGGGGUUCGAGUCCCUCCGGAUGCG
rnacentral:tRNA from 4 species